UCGGGUGUGGUGCACGGUGCACGGCGGCUAAUAGUACUGCCAAGCAGAUUCUGCAAGCCGCAGACCGGGGUUCGACUCCCCGCGUCCGAU